rnacentral:rRNA from 1 species
CGGGUGAGUAAUGCAUCGGAACAUGUCCAGUCGUGGGGGAUAGCCCGGCGAAAGCCGGAUUAAUACCGCAUACGCCCGAGAGGGGAAAGUGGGGGACCGCAAGGCCUCACGCGAAUGGGUUGGCCGAUGUCCGAUUAGCUAGUUGGCGGGGUAAAGGCCCACCAAGGCGAUGAUCGGUAGCCGGUCUGAGAGGAUGAUCAGCCACACUGGGACUGAGACACGGCCCAG